rnacentral:rRNA from 1 species
GACGAACGCUGGCGGCGUGCCUAAUACAUGCCAGUUGAGCGCUGAAGGUUGGUACUUGUACCAACUGGAUGAGCAGCAAACGGGUGAGUAACGCGUGGGGAAUCUGCCUUUGAGCGGGGGACAACAUUUGGAAACGAAUGCUAAUACCGCAUAAAAACUUUAAACACAAGUUUUAAGUUUGAAAGAUGCAAUUGCAUCACUCAAAGAUGAUCCCGCGUUGUAUUAGCUAGUUGGUGGGGUAAAGGCUCACCAAGGCGAUGAUACAUAGCCGACCUGAGAGGGUGAUCGGCCACAUUGGGACUGAGACACGGCCCAAACUCCUACGGGAGGCAGCAGUAGGGAAUCUUCGGCAAUGGACGAAAGUCUGACCGAGCAACGCCGCGUGAGUGAAGAAGGGUUUCGGAUCGUAAAGCUCUGUUGGUAGAGAAGAACGUUGGUGAGAGUGGAAAGCUCAUCAAGUGACGGUAACUACCCAGAAAGGGACGGCUAACUACGUG